rnacentral:rRNA from 1 species
CGCGGCCUAUCAGCUUGUUGGUGAGGUAUCGGCUCACCAAGGCGACGACGGGUAGCCGGCCUGAGAGGGCGACCGGCCACACUGGGACUGAGACACGGCCCAGACUCCUACGGGAGGCAGCAGUGGGGAAUAUUGCGCAAUGGGCGAAAGCCUGACGCAGCAACGCCGCGUGCGGGAUGACGGCCUUCGGGUUGUAAACCGCUUUCAGCAGGGAAGAAGCGAAAGUGACGGUACCUGCAGAAGAAGCACCGGCUAACUACGUGCCAGCAGCCGCGGUAAUACGUAGGGUGCAAGCGUUGUCCGGAUUUAUUGGGCGUAAAGAGCUCGUAGGCGGUCAGUCGCGUCGGAUGUGAAAACCCGGAGCUUAACUCCGGGCCUGCAUUCGAUACGGGCUGACUAGAGUGUUGUAGGGGAGACUGGAAUUCCUGGUGUAGCGGUGAAAUGCGCAGAUAUCAGGAGGAACACCGAUGGCGAAGGCAGGUCUCUGGGCCACUACUGACGCUGAGAAGCGAAAGCAUGGGGAGCGAACAGGAUUAGAUACCCUGGUAGUCCAUGCCGUAAACGUUGGGCGCUAGGUGUGGGACUCAUUCCACGAGUUCCGUGCCGCAGCUAACGCAUUAAGCGCCCCGCCUGGGGAGUACGG